UGAAGUGUAGCUCAGUGGUGAGCACUUGUCUGGCAUGCUUGAGGCCCUGGGUUCAAUUCCCAGCACCAA
rnacentral:tRNA from 1 species